AAAUCCCAGGCGCUCCUCAGUCUAGGUGAUGCGCAGUCGCCCCCCCAGGCGGCCCAGGCGGCGGCAGCAGCUGCGGUGACUGCAAGGGCAGAUUCGGAGCGCUGGGGCGAAGGGGAGCGCAGCCCGCCUUCUGAGCGCGCCGACUCCGCUCGCCCCCCUCCCUCCGGGAGGUGGGGGCUGGGAGGCAUCUCCCCCACCCCCGUCUCCGCCCUCUUCCCCACCGCACAGGAAAGAUGAACCGAGGAGAGGUUUAUUUGCCUGGACCCAUCAGCAGCUGGGAGUCUCUAAUCAACAACACUGAAAAUGUUCGGGAUUUGUGGGGGAGGAGUUGGAAUGUAGAUGUUUGAAACAAAUGUGUAUAAAUAAAUGAAUUGUUUGUAACUUAGUUAUUGACCUGGAGACUGGCAGCUUGUUAAAGAAACUCCGUGUUUCUGGAGCCGGGUGUUUCUGUAGGCACUUUAUUUCUCCACUUUCAGAAGGUUGGGCUUGGCCCAACACAGGCUGACCCAUCCUCUUUCUCUUACCAUUUCAAACCCAUAGCUUGAACCUCUACCCUGAAAAACCAAAUUCAUUCCCUUAAAAAAAAAAGAUCACUUCUCAGACACCCUAACCUUUUUCUGGCUUUCCUUUUUGUUGCUGCCUAUUGAAGAGUUGGAUCGUACCCCCUUAAUAAAUAUAUUAAAAUUGAAAAAGAA